AACGAACGCUGGCGGCGUGCCUAACACAUGCAAGUCGAACGUGAUUGAAGAGCUUGCUCUUCAUGAAAGUGGCGCACGGGUGAGUAACGCGUAGAUAAUCUACCUGGUGAUUUGGGAUAACAGUUCGAAAGGACUGCUAAUACCGAAUAAGCCCACGGAGUCUUUGGAUUCUGCGGGAAAAGGGGGGGACCUUAUGGCCUUCCGUCAUCAGAUGAGUCUGCGUACCAUUAGCUAGUUGGUAGGGUAAAGGCCUACCAAGGCGACGAUGGUUAGCUGGUCUGAGAGGAUGAUCAGCCACACUGGAACUGAGACACGGUCCAGACUCCUACGGGAGGCAGCAGUGGGGAAGUUUGCGCAAUGGGGGAAACCCUGACACAGCAACGCCGCGUGAGUGAUGAAGGCCCUUGGGUCGUAAAGCUCUGACAGAGGGAAAGAAAUGCAGGGGAGCUAAUAUCUCCUUUGCUUGACGGUACCCUCAAAGGAAGCACCGGCUAACUCCGUGCCAGCCGCCGCAGUAACAC
rnacentral:rRNA from 1 species